rnacentral:rRNA from 1 species
GGGGCUGUAGUCGGUCCCAAGGGUUGGGCUGUUCGCCCAUUAAAGCGGUACGCGAGCUGGGUUCAGAACGUCGUGAGACAGUUCGGUCCCUAUCCGUCGCGGGCGCAGGAAAUUUGAGAGGAGCUGUCCUUAGUACGAGAGGACCGGGAUGGACGCACCGCUGGUGUACCAGUUGUUCUGCCAAGGGCAUCGCUGGGUAGCUAUGUGCGGACGGGAUAAGUGCUGAAAGCAUCUAAGCAUGAAGCCCCCCUCAAGAUGAGAUUUCCCAUUCCGCAAGGAAGUAAGAUCCCUGAAAGAUGAUCAGGUUGAUAGGUCUGAGGUGGAAGCGUGGUGACACGUGGAGCUGACAGAUACUAAUAGAUCGAGGACUUAACCUA